ACUCUAAGCGGGGGAUCACUUGGCUCAUGGGUCGAUGAA
rnacentral:rRNA from 1 species